CAGUAGCCGCGGGAAUACGUAGGGUGCGAGCGUUAAUCGGAAUUACUGGGCGUAAAGCGUGCGCAGGCGGUUGUGCAAGACAGAUGUGAAAUCCCCGAGCUUAACUUGGGAACUGCAUUUGUGACUGCACGGCUAGAGUGUGUCAGAGGGGGGUAGAAUUCCACGUGUAGCAGUGAAAUGCGUAGAUAUGUGGAGGAAUACCGAUGGCGAAGGCAGCCCCCUGGGAUAACACUGACGCUCAUGCACGAAAGCGUGGGGAGCAAACAGGAUUAGAGACCCGAGUAGUCCCUGUCUCUUAUAC
rnacentral:rRNA from 1 species